UCUACAGUUGGUCCGCUUCAUGUUCAGACAAACUUUUGAAAUCCUAAAGAGGAGCAAUUGGGAAAGCAGUUCCAUUGGCAAGUUUUUGGAGCUGCUGAAAUCUGACCUCCUGCAAAAAGAGAGCGAGGUGCCGUCUGGAUUGCUGUUGCACAUCAUGGACCUUUACAUGACUGAACUAGCAGCUGUUGGUGCUGCAGAGCUGACUGCCGAACAGAACCUGACUUUUAUAGAACCUUUCUGCCGGAAAGCAGCAAAAACCAAGAAGUAAGUUUUCCUGUGUGCUCAGCCUUAAAAAUGAAACCAAAUUGAUGCUUAAUAGAAGCAAUGCAAUAUGCUGGG